rnacentral:rRNA from 1 species
GACGAACGCUGGCGGCGUGCUUAACACAUGCAAGUCGAACGCUGAACUCCGCUUGCGGAGGAAUGAGUGGCGAACGGGUGAGUAACACGUGGGCAACCUGCCCCCGGCUCUGGGAUAACUCCAAGAAAUUGGGGCUAAUACCGGAUAUUCACCGCUGACCGCAUGGUCUGGUGGUGGAAAGGGUUUCCGGCUGGGGAUGGGCCCGCGGCCUAUCAGCUUGUUGGUGGGGUAGUGGCCUACCAAGGCGACGACGGGUAGCCGGCCUGAGAGGGUGACCGGCCACACUGGGACUGAGACACGGCCCAGACUCCUACGGGAGGCAGCAGUGGGGAAUAUUGCGCAAUGGGCGGAAGCCUGACGCAGCGACGCCGCGUGGGGGAUGACGGCCUUCGGGUUGUAAACCUCUUUUCAGCAGGGACGAAGCGGAAGUGACGGUACCUGCAGAAGAAGCACCGGCCAACUACGUG